AUUGAACGCUGGCGGCAGGCUUAACACAUGCAAGUCGAGCGGGGAAGGGUAGCUUGCUACCUAACCUAGCGGCGGACGGGUGAGUAAUGCUUAGGAAUCUGCCUAUUAGUGGGGGACAACAUCUCGAAAGGGAUGCUAAUACCGCAUACGUCCUACGGGAGAAAGCAGGGGACCUUCGGGCCUUGCGCUAAUAGAUGAGCCUAAGUCGGAUUAGCUAGUUGGUGGGGUAAAGGCCUACCAAGGCGACGAUCUGUAGCGGGUCUGAGAGGAUGAUCCGCCACACUGGGACUGAGACACGGCCCAGACUCCUACGGGAGGCAGCAGUGGGGAAUAUUGGACAAUGGGGGGAACCCUGAUCCAGCCAUGCCGCGUGUGUGAAGAAGGCCUUUUGGUUGUAAAGCACUUUUAGCGAGGAGGAGGCUACUGGUAUUAAUACUACCGGAUAGUGGACGUUACUCGCAGAAUAAGCACCGGCUAACUCUGUGCCAGCAGCCGCCGUAAGAC
rnacentral:rRNA from 1 species